rnacentral:rRNA from 1 species
CCCUUAGAUGUUCUGGGCUGCACGCGCGCUCCACUGAAGCUAUCAACACGUUUUCCCUCCCUGAGAAGGGCGGGUAACCUUUUGAAUCAGCUUCGUGGUAGGGAUCGGGGCUUGCAAUUGUUCCCCGUGAACCAGGAAUUCCUAGUAGACGCGAGUCAUAAGCUCGCAUCGAUUAAGUCCCUGCCCUUUGUACACACCGCCCGUCGCUACUACCGAUUGAACGUUUUAGUGAGGCAUUUGGACCGACGCAUCUCAGUUUAACCGCUGGUUUGUGUUGGAAAGACUUCCAAACUUGAGCGUUUAGAGGAAGUAAAAGUCGUAACA